rnacentral:rRNA from 1 species
UACGUAGGGGGCUAGCGUUGUCCGGAUUUAUUGGGCGUAAAGAGCGUGUAGGCGGCCAAGUAGGUCCGGUGUGAAAACUCGAGGCUUAACCUCGAGAUGUCAUCGGAAACCAUUUGGCUAGAGUCCGGAAGAGGAAAGUGGAAUUCCUGGUGUAGCGGUGAAAUGCGCAGAUAUCUGGAGGAACACCGGUGGCGAAGGCGGCAUCCUGGACCAACACUGACACUGAGGCACGAAAGCUAGGGGAGCAAACAGG